GAUAUUUGACUCUUGGAAUGCAAUCCAGCUAUUCUUACUGGGCUUAGUUAGAGAUCAUUUAAGAUGCCAGUUUUACUAUCGCACCUGACAAAGCCUUCCCACUGCCAAAUUGCUUCUAUCACAAUAGCUUCCACUUUAAGCUGAUAAGGGCUCAACAGGCCUUCCCAAAACUGAUAGUGUGCCUGGACCAAAAUUAUUGUGAAAACAAAAGUUGCAUGGGAAAUUAGAGAAGCCGGGAGUGAGUCUAGGAGUGAGAAGUCAUCUCCCACAGACAGGUCCUCUCAUUAGACACUAUGUUGGAGAUGAUAGACUACCAGAGCUUUUGAUCUGCUUCCCAUAGCCUGGAGGUGACCAUGGCAGGCACUUCUGGACCUAAGGGUGGGGAUCUAGAUCAGACUGCAGCCAGAGAAUCCAUUCCAGCAGGAUGGCCUUUGGAGGAGUGCUCUAGGCCUACAAACCAGAGAAGUUUGAAGAGCAUGACUACAAAAGGCAAAAUUUAAAAAUAGGUCUGGACCAGAAGUGAGCAUCUCUGUGACCCUCCCAUUAGAUCAAAUUGGCCAAGGGAUCUCUGAAACAGCCCCUGUGGGUGGUCCUCUGAAUUAGGAACCACUUGGGCUUGAAGUGGACCGCCUAUAUCAGCAGGGAUAAUCUUGGCUGCCAGAAACAGCCUACUUAAAUUUGCAUCAACAAUUAAGGAAAUUUAUUAGCUCCUAAUAAGCAGUGAUCAGAUAUGAUUUGAUCAGGGUUCUUGCUCAUUUCUCUUCAAUUCUCUUUCUAUGUGUCUGCUUCAAGUUGGCUGCAGUAGUUUCAGGACUAACAUCAUAAACAUGUCCAGAGGAAGAGAGGCAUCCUGGUACCUGGUGGCUCACCCUUAAAGCUCAAGAAAAUGCUCUACUCAAGGUCCCCAGUAAGCUAUUGUGACAUACGUAUAUUCCAGAUUCAAUCACUGUGGUGGUAGGAACAGAACUGCCCUUACACCAAUCAGGAACUCCCUGAACCUAGGGAUGGGCUCAGCUUCCCCUGGGUCCAUAAGCUGUAAUGGCAAAACUGGAUUCCUGGAUUAAAAGCAUUUCCCUUUUCUUGGUUCACAUUCCUGGGGUCCAAGAAGCCUAACAACAACCAAAGCAACAGUGGAGAGGAGUCUUGGAUCCUGGUCCUCUAUGGUGUGAAAUAAACAUGAAGCUGUCAAAGAGAAUAAACUGAAACAGGCUAAACUAAUUUGUCACUGAUGAUAGUCAUUAUCAACAAUCUGAAUACUGUUUCACCUCACCGAGAUUUAAAUAAUCUGUCAAAAAGCCACUGUAUUCUAAAAUCUGCAUACAGAAUCAGAGGACACAAGGAAGAAAUGAGGGUACAGUCAGUGAAGCCAACAGAAACAGCCUCAUUUCUGACACUAAAUCAAAAGAUCCCCUUUGGGAUUAAUUUCCUUAAGCUCCUCUUCUCUUUCCUUCCUUCAAGUGCCAUCCCCAUGCAAAUAAUUAUUGCUAGCCCAUUCCUUCCUCAAUAUUUAGGAAUACUGAUCAGUGUCUUUAGAAAACUGUUUCUUUUCAGGACCAGCUGGAGGCAAAAUUAUUAACUAGGAUGAGCUAUCUCUCACUUUAAAAAUGAGAGUGCCCAGUGAUGAUGAAGACCUGGUUAAAAUGUAAAGUCUCAAAAAUUUC